rnacentral:lncRNA from 1 species
UCUUGAUCAGGCUUGAGUUCUAGAAAAUUCAUGGUGGCUGCACUGAAAGAGUGACACAGAAAGGAGUGAAACUAUUUGUAAAAUUCAGUGGGAAGGCUUUUAGUGGCCUGGGUGAGACUGAUGGUGAUACGCACAGAAUGAGAAGAAUUAUGCCAGAUUUGAUUUUUUUUUUUUUUUUAAUAUUAAUAGGAACUCUCAAAGAGACAGAAAUGACCUCUAAGAAGCUCUGUUAAAGGUGGGGAAUUUUUUGGCUCCUGUAACCAAAUCAUGGAAAUGCAAGGAAGCCGCUGGCCCUGCCACAGCUGGUUUGGGGAAUGGCAUCCUGCCAUCUCUUUCUAUUUUUAUUCUUAUCUCUGGAAGUUAGCUGUUCACUCUUUCAGGCCUGGUUACAUGACCUGUUGGUGGCUCUGAAAUCAUGUCUUUGCAGUGUCUGAUGAAACCAAGGAGUCCUGCUCUCUGUGAUUCAGAACAGCUUCAAAAUGUAGGGGCCCAGGAAAACCUGUUAUUGGCCAGGCUUGGAUCAUAUGCUUACACCUGGGUUCAUCUCUGGAUGCAACGGGAGAAGUACUGUGUCUAAGGGAUGUGCUCUCAUCAGUGGUUAAGGAGGCUUUGGUGACAGUACGAAUGGGCAGCAAAAUGCCAAAUGCAAGUGGCCAGAGGAAGAGCAGCAACCUGGACAUUCAACUUCUGGAAAAAUGAAAAUUCACUAGAGUCUCCUCUCAUUUCAGAGAGCAGAAGCUGCCUGGUUUCUAAACUUGGAAGUUCUGAGUCUCAAAUGCCAGGUAUCAGGAAUAAUCCCCAGCAGAUGUGGAAGAGAGAGACCAGAUUCCUGUCUGCAUUUCAUUUGAAGCUGGUGUUCUUUCCAGGUAGGAUUCUCCAACCUUAGCCCAAAAUAUCUUCCAAAAAAUUUAAAUGAUGAAUUUCUACAUUAUCACUUACAGAAAAUAAUUCAAAGAAAUGUAAUUACAUUUCCUUCUCCCUCCCCCUUUAUUCUGUGAGAUUUGGACUAAAUUGAGGCAAAAAGAUGAGCAGAGGGAAAAAUAAAUGUGAGCCAAGUGACUUCA